GAUGAACGCCGGCGGCGUGCCUAAUACAUGCAAGUCGAGCGAACAGACGAGGAGCUUGCUCCUCUGACGUUAGCGGCGGACGGGUGAGUAACACGUGGAUAACCUACCUAUAAGACUGGGAUAACUUCGGGAAACCGGAGCUAAUACCGGAUAAUAUAUUGAACCGCAUGGUUCAAUAGUGAAAGACGGUUUUGCUGUCACUUAUAGAUGGAUCCGCGCCGCAUUAGCUAGUUGGUAAGGUAACGGCUUACCAAGGCAACGAUGCGUAGCCGACCUGAGAGGGUGAUCGGCCACACUGGAACUGAGACACGGUCCAGACUCCUACGGGAGGCAGCAGUAGGGAAUCUUCCGCAAUGGGCGAAAGCCUGACGGAGCAACGCCGCGUGAGUGAUGAAGGUCUUCGGAUCGUAAAACUCUGUUAUUAGGGAAGAACAAAUGUGUAAGUAACUAUGCACGUCUUGACGGUACCUAAUCAGAAAGCCACGGCUAACCACGUG
rnacentral:rRNA from 1 species